GGGAGGGUUGGUGUCUAGCUUGCUAGACAUUCAACUCUACCGGCGAACGGGUGAGUAACACGUGGGCAAUCUGCCCUGAAGGCGGGGACAACCUCGGGAAACCGGGGCUAAUACCCGAUAUCCUCCUCGGGGGGCAUCCUCUGGAGAGGAAAGGGUCCGCAAGGUCCGCUUCAGGAUGAGCCCGCGGCCUAUCAGCUAGUUGGUGGGGUCACGGCCUACCAAGGCGAUGACGGGUAGGUGGUCUGAGAGGACGAUCACCCACACUGGGACUGAGACACGGCCCAGACUCCUACGGGAGGCAGCAGUUGGGAAUAUUGGGCAAUGGGCGCAAGCCUGACCCAGCGACACCGCGUGGGGGACGAAGGCCUUCGAGUCGUAAACCCCUGUCAGGGGGGAAGAAGCCCGCCGCAAGGCGGGUGACGGUACCUCCAGAGGAAGCCCCGGCUAACUACGUGCCAGCAGCCGCGGUAAGACGUAGGGGGCGAGCGUUGUCCGGACUUACUGGGCGUAAAGCGCGUGCAGGCGGUCCGUUAAGUCCCGUGUUAAAGCCUCCGGCCCAACCGGAGAACGCCGCGGGAGACUGGCGGGCUUGAGGGCGGUAGAGGGUGAUGGAAUUCCCGGUGGAGCGGUGAAAUGCGUAGAUAUCGGGAGGAACGCCAGUGGCGAAGGCGGUCACCUGGGCCGUCCCUGACGCUGAGACGCGAAAGCUGGGGGAGCGAACGGGAUUAGAUACCCCGGUAGUCCCAGCCGUAAACGAUGCUCGCUAGGUGUUGGGGGGUUACUCCCUCAGUGCCGCAGCCAACGCAUUAAGUGAGCCGCCUGGGUAGUACGGCCGCAAGGUUGAAACUCAAAUGAAUUGACGGGG
rnacentral:rRNA from 1 species